GAGCGCACGGCGCGGCUGCCGGCCCGCGCCCUUAACCCUUGUAUGCACCCGGCCGGAGCAGCGGUCCCUCCAGCGGAGGCCCGGUGCCUCUUCCUAACUGCGGCUCCUGAUCCCGGACGUCGGCCUGAGGGGACUGUGCCUUCCAGGUCUAGAAAUCUGCAGCAGGAAUGGGGACGUCUCGGGUCUAUCCCUGGUAGCCGACCUGCUCACUCCUCUCGCAGCUAACGGGGGAUCAUUCAUUUCAUCGGAAGUGAGCUUUUUCCAGGUGAAGGUUAAUAGUUCAGAGCUUAAUCGGGUGCUUUCUUUCGGUGCUCUUGGGAAAGCUGUCUUUGAACAGGAUCGGAAGCUUGCCGGCUUCGUGUGGAACGGGCGGAAGCUUUGCACUACAGAUGACAGAGCAUCAAAUGCACCCUCAGAAGUAACAGGACAGGUUCUUUAAAAGCAAAAGAUCUCAGGCAAAUGAAAACUCGGUGGUAACAGAGCAGUUUCCAAGGCGGCAGACUACGGCUGUAUAGCACCGUUCCCCUGAACCCAAAUCUGAUAUUAUAUUUAUACAAGACUCAGUCAAGCUUUGAAAUGGAGUCAAAUUGAGGAGGAAGGCCCGCUGAGCCUUACUCCUAAUCUGUGUUAUGAAUGAUUUAAACAACGUGAAAAGCUAUGUUAGUACCCUUUAUUUGUUUUUCUAAAGAUUUUUUCAGUGUGUGUAUGUGCGUGUGCGUGCAUGCAUGCGUGUGUCCUGAAACUUUCCAAGUACUCCUUUGAGACAGGGUCUUUACCUGAAUCUGACGAUCAUCUCUUCUCAACUAGGCUAGAAGCCAGCAAACCUAGCCCUUGCCUCUUGCCUCUUCCCUCUCCACGCUGAGGUAAAGGCCUGUGGAAUGCCAGACUCCUUUGAAGAGUGCUGGGGUCCACACUCAGGGCCACCCAGUCCUGCAGCAAGUGCUCUCAAGACCCAGGUCGUGUCUCCAGCCCACCUUGUAUAGAUUUUAAUGUUUUUGUACCAUCUACUUUUGAAAGUUUAAAAUGGACUGGCUACUGUAUAUUAAGUCACAAGACUUUUGUAUAUUACAUUUCUGCGUUUAAAAUUGGAGUCCAAAAUGUCACGGCUCCUACCAUAGCACCACCGUCUGGAGGAGUUUAGACUUCAGAAUCAAGGCUCCUACCCCACGAUGUGCAGUCAGAGUCUGCCUUUGGACUAGCUGCCUGCCGAAGACUGGGCACAUCCCAGCCUGAAGAACACUGAUCUUCAUGGGCUCUGUCUGGGCACAUUUGGCCAUGAUUCAGAACUUAAUUCACCAAUGAAUUACCUUUAUGUUAAUUAUUUUACCCAUGGGGGAAAAAUAACACAUUGCUCCUGGACCUCUGCAUCCCCAAACUUAACCAGUUUAUAGUAGAAAACAAAAUAUUUUUAAAAGCCACCUGGACUGAAUACCUGUAGACUUACCCCUCAUCAUGCUCCACACAGAAUACAGAAUAACAAGUCUUUCCACCACACCAGGGUUCUAUCAGUAAUCUAGAGAUUCCUUAGAACUUAAAGUUAUACUGUAAAUUUAAAUUACUGAUUAUGUUAAAGCAUUAAGAGGAUGUUCAUACACGGUAUGUAAACAUUAUAUAAUACACUUGUACGAUCUAAGAUUUGGGUAUUUAAGAGGAACCCUAAAGCUAGCCUUCCCGUUUGAGGGGUGACUAUAUAUGUGGGAAGGAAAUGGCACUCCUCCAAGAGCCCCAGUUCAUCAGUGAAAGAAACUGGCUUGCAAUGAGUGUGCUGGGGUCUUCACUAGGGAAGUGUUCUCUGAGGCAGUAGAGGGAGCACAAGAGUGCUUAGGACAGCCACUGUACACAGGGCGCUCCAAAGCAUGACAGAUUUUUAAACUGUAGUAUAUGUUUGCAUUGGAAGUAGCCUGUUACGCCAUUCCAAACAAAACAAAACGAAAAAGCUAACAAACACACACUGCCUACCCGAUUACAGCAACUAAAUAAUUGAACAGAUUGCAAAUUACAUAAAAUAAAAGAUACAAGAUAUACUCGUUUCAAGUUCUAGGCUUGCAUUCUUCCAGUGGACUUCAAGAAUCCUGCUUAGGAAAGGUACCUUAUUGCCAAGAAUGCACAAAGCCCCGGUUUGAUGCCCAGCACCACAAUGGGUGUGGCUGGCACACACCUGUACUUUCCGCAGGAGACUGGGAAAUUCCAAAUCAUUGUCCCUCAACUGCAGAGCAAGUUCAAGGACAGUCUAGGAUAGGUGGGCUGUCGUCUUAGGGGGAAAAAAGGCAAAAAGCCUUCCUGGUGGCAUACCUCAAAGGUUAAAAGAACUUACCACCAAGCCCGAGGACCCAGGUUCAGUCCCUGAAUCCACACGGUGGAAGGACAGACCAAGUCCUGCAAGUUUUCCUCUGACUUCCACGGCAGCACUUCGGUGUGAGUGACCCCCCCACACACAUACACCCUCACAAUAUUUAUUGAUAAAACCUGUUUUGAGCAUAUAUUUGAUCUGGCAUCCAUGACAACAUCAGAAAACAAAAAAGAUGACAUGGAACGGAAGAGUUACCCAGAGUCACGACCCUAGCCUCAUCUUUCCAGAAGAGACGAUUGUUGACACUGACCUGAGGCACAGGCUACCUGGUCUGCAUGGACUGUUGAGCCCUUAGAGAACCAGGCCUAAGGCCAGGUCUAAGAACAAGGGCUUCCCCAGGGCUUCUCAGCUCCCUCUGUUGGGCACCAACGCACACAGCAGCUGUCCCCCCCUACAAGUGUCGUGGUAGCUGAAGAUGCAGAGUAGCCAAACAAUAAACUAAUCAGACAGGUAACCAAUCAACCUGAGGCAAGAAACAAACAAACAAAUCUGCUCUUGAUAGUGGAUAUCUAUACCAUCAGAGCGGAGAAAUUUAUACCACAUCCCGACCUUGGAUUUCUCUGGAUUUGGGCAAGUGUUGAAGGUUUUUUGUCUUUCUUCCUAGGUUCUAGAGAUUGAACCUAGGGCUUCAUACAUAAAAAAAAGGCAAGCGCUCUACUACUGAGCCGUAUCUCCAGCAUCGAUUCCCAUCUCUCAAGGAGCAGCUGCGUAUGCCCUAUCUCACCACCAAGCAGGAGAUCUUACCGUCAGGCCCCUGAUCCUGAGGAAGCUACUGUGUUGGAAUAACUGUGACAUGUUUGCCAACCUUCUCACAUCUCGGGAAAUGGCAUCUAUACCAUCUAUAUUCAGUCUUCAGCCCCAAGGCCGUUGGCAUUAUCUAUCUGCUCUCUCAUUGGUACCUCACAUCCAAGCUCUCCAUUGGAUGGAGCUGGCUGGACCUUCAAAAUAUGUCCAGACACUAGUCAUUUCUCUCCACUGAGAUUGCCACCAUCAGAGCUAACCCACCAUCAGGAAUGUUGCAAUAGCCGCCUCCAGUCUCUUUGAUGUCUCUGCAACUUGGUUCAUUCUUGGACUACAUCUUGGUCUUCAUCUUGGUCCACUGUGUGGAGCUGGUGAAUCUGUGCUGCCUUUAUAGGUGCUUCUUUAUACUCAGAGGCAGGCCACAGCACUCCCAUGUCUGCCAGACUCUCCAUGAUCUCAGCUCCUCUGAUCUUCUCAGCCACCAUCAUUGCCCCAACACCUUUAGCCCUACGGCUCUAUGAUGAAGCCAGGCAUACUCUGCCAUGGGCCCAGGCUCUCUGCUCUGUUCCCGGUUCUGGAAUGAUUUGCCCUUAGACAGUCAAAGCUGCCAUGGCUCCAAGUCUGCAGUCCCUUUUUGUCCCUGAGGAGCCACCAUCAGUGUGGCGUGUUUAGACCACCACACACUAGUUGUAGCCUUUCCGCUUCCUUGAGUGCUUAGUACGUGAAUGUGUUAUCCAAUGAUACCAAAUAAAUAUUUGCUACUUGUUUUUUUUUUUUUUUUUUUUUUUUUUUUUGUCAGGAAGGGAUGGAUUUCUGUCAGUAUCACCUGGGAUUGUUCUUGGCUAAUGAUAGAUAGCCAAUAAAUAUUCACUGAUUCUUCAAUGAA